rnacentral:rRNA from 1 species
GAUGAACGCUGGCGGCGUGCUUAACACAUGCAAGUCGAACGAUGAAGCCCAGCUUGCUGGGUGGAUUAGUGGCGAACGGGUGAGUAACACGUGAGUAACCUGCCCUUAACUCUGGGAUAAGCCUGGGAAACUGGGUCUAAUACCGGAUAGGAGCGUCCACCGCAUGGUGGGUGUUGGAAAGAUUUAUCGGUUUUGGAUGGACUCGCGGCCUAUCAGCUUGUUGGUGAGGUAAUGGCUCACCAAGGCGACGACGAGUAGCCGGCCUGAGAGGGUGACCGGCCACACUGGGACUGAGACACGGCCCAGACUCCUACGGGAGGCAGCAGUGGGGAAUAUUGCACAAUGGGCGCAAGCCUGAUGCAGCGACGCCGCGUGAGGGAUGACGGCCUUCGGGUUGUAAACCUCUUUCAGUAGGGAAGAAGCGAAAGUGACGGUACCUGCAGAAGAAGCACCGGCUAACUACGUG